AAAAAAACACUUGCAGAGAAAGAGAAGAGAAAAAAAAAAAAACACGUGACACCGUUCACGUUUUUCUCGUUUUUCCUUUUCCACAGUUUGUUUUUGUUUUUGUUUUUGUUUUUUGUUUUCUUUAUCCAUUUUGGUG
rnacentral:RNase_P_RNA from 15 species